UGCACAUGGUCACUUCUCAUCCACGGU
rnacentral:piRNA from 1 species